rnacentral:rRNA from 1 species
UACGUAGGGGGCAAGCGUUGUCCGGAUUUAUUGGGCGUAAAGAGCGUGUAGGCGGCUAGGUAGGUCCGUUGUGAAAACUCGAGGCUCAACCUCGAGACGCCGGUGGAAACCAUCUAGCUAGAGUCCGGAAGAGGAGAGUGGAAUUCCUGGUGUAGCGGUGAAUGCGCAGAUAUCAGGAAGAACACCCGUGGCGAAGGCGGCUCUCUGGGACGUGACUGACGCUGAGACGCGAAAGCGUGGGGAGCGAACAGG